GGGUAAAUAGUUUAAAGAGAAUGGUAUUUUUGUAAAGUGCCGGUGUCACUAGGUUUCUGUAAGGCUUUGCCCA
rnacentral:tRNA from 1 species